rnacentral:rRNA from 1 species
AUGGUCAUUUCGAUCUGGAUGUGUGAUAUCAUCAGGACAUGUGACGUGAUGAUUGUUGGGCUCUGGUGUUCCCAACUUGACAUCAAAAUGAGACCAUCUAUCAGGCAGGCUGUCAACGUGUUGCGGUCAGAGGAGCUACAAUAUGUUUGUGUCUUAAUGGAGGGUUCUCCGGUUAUGAACUGGUCCCACCUCAACUCCUUAUAUCCAACCACAACAAUUAAUAUAUAUGCAAACCUUACACAUACCCGGAGCUGGCUGCCGAAUGAUUCCUAUCUAGGUGAUGAGAAAACAGACAUCUGCAAAUUGCUAUGGACUCUAUGA